UUGUCACCCACCAUGAGGUUGCUGGGAAUUGAACUUAGGACCUCUGGAAGAGCAUCUAGUUCUCUUAACCACUGAGCCAUCUCUCCAGUCCUUGUGGAGGUUUUAAAGAAUCUCAGAAUUUUGAUUGUACACAAUGGAACUAGGAACAUGGUCCUGGACCAACACGAGUGGAGAAGAGCCUCUUGCUGGCUUGUGUCUGCCUGUGGGGAAGGAGGAUGUGCACUGCCCUGGAACUUCCUGACACCCUCACAUCACUUACCGAGAGCUGAACAGGUUGGAGUGGUAACGCUGUGAACAUGUCGGGAGACUUGUCAAAUCUGGAGACAUUUCUACUAAAGCCUCUCAUGUCUAUGACCUUUCAGGUUUCCAAGCACAGCAGGUUUUCUUGAGCCUUGUGAGUGUUACCACUCAGUAGCCACUACCUACAUCCUCUUGGUGCUUGGCUCUGUGAGCUCCAUUUGUCUCUCUGGAAAACACCACACUUUCAGAGAGCAGAGGAUUUUCCAGAAUUCACCAUAUAGCUGAUGUCUAGAUCUUGCAAACUUUUUUUCCACCUCUUCUAAAAUGUUCUCUGAACUUAGGGCUAGCGAAGGUGUUACAUCAUUGCUCUUUUAGGGCUAAGCAGUCCAUAGUCACUUAAGCUGUGCACCUUGACCAGUUGGUUGUGGCUCUAUGUGUCAAGACCUCCCGCUGCAGUUGUAAGGUGAGUUUGUAUUUAUGUAUUUGUUAUUUAUUAUUUAAGGAUAUCAUAGAUCUAUACAAUAUAUUUUUAUAUUUACCCCACAUUCAUUCCCUCAACUUCUCCCUAACUCUCCCCUAAAACAUCCCUUAAUAACUUUAUGCCUUUUAUUUUGAAACCUUUGAGUCCAUUUAGUGUCACCUGUAUGUUCAUGGGUGUGGGUCUGUCCACUGGAGCAUGGGCAACCUAUCAGGAACCAAUACCCCUAAAGAAAAAUGAUCCCUGAUACUCAGGAGCCAUCAACUGCCAAAUAUGACUUCAGCUACCAGUGAGGCCUC
rnacentral:lncRNA from 1 species